rnacentral:rRNA from 1 species
UACGUAGGGGGCUAGCGUUGUCCGGAAUCAUUGGGCGUAAAGCGCGUGUAGGCGGUCCGGUAAGUCCGCUGUGAAAGUCGGGGGCUCAACCCUCGGAUGCCGGUGGAUACUGUCGGGCUUGAGUACGGAAGAGGCGAGUGGAAUUCCGUGGUGUAGCGGUGAAAUGCGCAGAUAGUCAGGAGGAACACCAAUUGCGAAGGCAGCUCGCUGGGACGUUACUGACGCUGGAGACGCGAAAGCGUGGGGAGCAAACAGGAUUAAGAUAC